rnacentral:rRNA from 1 species
ACGCUCGACACCUACGGGAGGUAGCAGUGGGGAAUAUUGCACAAUGGGGGAAACCCUGAUGCAGCGACGCCGCGUGAGUGAAGAAGUAUUUCGGUAUGUAAAGCUCUAUCAGCAGGGAAGAGAAUGACGGUACCUGACUAAGAAGCCCCGGCUAACUACGUGCCANNCGCGAUNUGAGCGGGCGUGGCGAAGGACG